rnacentral:rRNA from 1 species
AUUCGUAGUGCGCUCGGCGCCCGCCGGCAGCUAGGGGCUAGCCUGCCGGGCCCGCAGGGGAGGCGGGAUAUAUUUCGCGGGGCCCGGACGGGUGUGGGUUUAGGAGGCUGAGGAAGAGCGGGGGAGGACGGGGCACCAGGGGUUGGCGGCAGGCGGCGGCGUCUCCCCUCUCCGCCGGCGGCGGGCGGCGGUGUCGUGGCGUCCGGGGCAGCGGGGGCGCGUGGGGCGGCCAGCCCAAACUAGGGUACCGCAGGUUCUCCUAGGAGUUCCUCGAGUUCCUGGACGUCUUCCUGGGAGGGUGGAGUACGUCGCGUCCAGGACAUCCACUCCUGUACAAGGUGACCGUCCGUUGAUAGUACCCUGGGAGACUGUCAGGCAAGUGGCCACCAGAUAAAAACCACUUGUAAGUAAAGGGUGGCCUAAUGGGGAAGUUCGGGGGCUUCCAGAGAAAGGCGUGGUUCCACAAGGUGGGUUUGUAGUUGUCGUUGCCGUCGUAAACGGAACUGUAAGAGUUCCUUGUCACCUCGGGCCGAAACUGGUAUAGUUUCCAGGAGGACAGUUAGACAAGCAACGACUGCCUGGGGUUGGGACUACUAGGGGACCACGGACUCUAGCGAGUGUACAUGUUCUGACUAGCCCGGUUCAUACUCAGGUGCCGUGCGAGGACCUGUGUCUUCAUGCGGUACCCGAUCUCGGACCUGCCGGUCGACCACUGGUACCUACGCGGCUCGGGUCUUGGCAAUAGUGGAUUUAUUGGUCGGUUUCAUAGUGGGGUGGGGCGCUGCUUCACUUACCUGAAAACUCCGGCAGCACGGGGACAACUUGAGCAUACUUACAUGAGAACGGUACAGUUCAGGCAACCCAGACCCAUCAGACAAGAUGGACUGCAAAGCAAUAGGUAAUUCAAUUUAGAGACAGCAUAGAUACUAUACACACCGAUAGGUAACGUACGAAACUAACCCAAAAGACCGACCCUUCCUUAACACCCAAACUCUCGGGGGUUGAUAAAACUUCAACUUUUACAGCUUCGUUUCUUGGAUUUUAAGGAUUCUUUUAGGUCCACGGAUUUUAGGUACUGACAACCCAGACAUAAAAAAGACUUACUAAUACAGUAUCUUUGUCUCGUUACGUUUGAAAAGAAACCUUAAGGUAUGCUUUUACACUAUAAGGUUCAAGUUUUUUUUUACUUGGUAAAUUCUCGAUAUUCUUUUAGUAGAUACUUAUCACUGUAACCCGUGAUAAGUUACAACUAAAAACAAAAAAAUGGAACAUAUUUGUUUAAACACAUGAAUCUUAAAGUGGUUUAAACACAUGAAUAUUUGUUUAAACCCCCUCAAGUCAAGUGUGAGGCGGUUGUUGAAUAUAAAACCUUGCCUCCCUCAUCUUAUUUGGGUCAGCGGUGGGAGGUCUUCCUAGAACUAACCACGCCUCCACAAAGAAGUACCUUGUAUCAAAAAAAAGGGGUAGCCGGACUGAGGUUGCUGUGUCGAAUAAGAAAGCUCGGAGCGUUUCCAGGAAAACCAGAACACUACGAUGGAUAGAUC